rnacentral:rRNA from 1 species
GACGAACGCUGGCGGCGUGCUUAACACAUGCAAGUCGAACGGUGAAGCGCCUUCCUUUUUGGUGGGUGUGGAUGAGUGGCGAACAGGUGCGUAACACGUGAGUAACCUGCCCCCUUCUACUGGAUAACCGCAUGAAAGUGUGGCUCAUACGGGAUAUCCUGCUUCUGUCGCAUGAUGGGACUGGUUCAGCUGUUGUUUCGGUGGUCGCUGGGCGCGCGGCCUAUAAGCUUGUUGGUGGGGUGAUGGCCUACCACGGCGGUGACGGGUAGCCGGCCUGGGAGGGUGGACGGUCACAGUGGGAGUGAGACACGGUCGAGACUCCGACGGGAGGCAGCAGUGGGGAAUAUUGCACAGUGGGCGCAAGCCUGAAGCAGCGAGGCCGCGUGAGGGAUGGAGGCCUGCGGGUUGUGAACCUCUUUCGCCAGUGAAGCAGGCCUGCCUCGUUUGUGGGUGGGUUGACGGUAGCUGGAUAAGAAGCGCCGGCUAACUACGUG